rnacentral:tRNA from 1 species
CCGCCGGGUGGGUUCGACUCCCUCCUCUUUC